UACGGGGGGAGCAAGCGUUGUUCGGAUUUACUGGGCGUAAAGGGCGCGUAGGCGGCCAGUGCAAGUCAGUUGUGAAAUCUCCGAGCUUAACUCGGAAAGGUCAACUGAUACUGCUCGGCUAGAGUGCGGAAGGGGCAACUGGAAUUCUUGGUGUAGCGGUGAAAUGCGUAGAUAUCAAGAGGAACACCUGCGGCGAAGGCGGGUUGCUGGGCCGACACUGACGCUGAAGUGCGAAAGCUAGUGGAGCGAACGGG
rnacentral:rRNA from 1 species